UUGGUCGGCUCCCCACGCUAGAGUCCAAAAGAAAUCUGGUUGAAAAAAACAUGAAUCUUGCUCUUAUGCAGCUUUUGCUCGCUGUUGGCACCCAACCGGAACGUGUAACGGCACAGCUGGUAAAAGAGGUUGCUCGGACGCAUGGGGCCACCGCUAGGGACUUGAUGAUUGAACCCUCAGAUGAAGACUUUUGGUUCCAUGGGUCUCGGCUCAUCCUCCGCUCGAUUCGCAUCGCACUCUUCCAAUCCUCUUUUGAACUGGCCUCCUCCUUAUUUGUAUUGGACCAAUCUUUGAGGCCCAGCACUUAUCUGUUCAUGCGUUCUGGAUAGAGCAUUUGUCCUGUUCCGCUGUAAUAACAGCACACUACCGCUAUAUGCCGUCCUGAAAACUCAGAUGGGUGAGCACAGGACCAUUACCAUUGAAGAACAUGAACGAGAGAGCAUUCUUCUAUGUCAUGCUCGAGGAGCGAAAAGGAAGAGGAGUUCAGGAGAAGUGGCUUAUAAUGAAGGCGCUAUGGGUUCGGAGGAGGCGCAUGGGAGAGCUGAGCAAACACGGGUCGGGCCAAUCAGAAGGAAUCCGGCCAGUUUUGGGAGCGCGUAGCAGAAGCCCGAUACCUUGGUCCGGGGAGACUGCUAAGAUGGAGUCCAAGUCCAUGCCCGUCAACAUAUCUAGUUGGACCCACAUUUACUCAAAAAUUUAUACUACUGAGUUAUGGGCCAACUUAGAUAUAUUAACUGCCCCAAACCAUACUAGUUCUCCGACGUGGGACUUCUCUAACAUAAAUCACAUGUGUAUCUCAAUAAUCUCCUUUUCACGUGUGAGCUUGGUGUUAGAUCUGCUCCCACUUAAUUUAAGUAUUCGUCUGCACCAACAUAUCUCCAUAGGUCUGCUCUCCUUUAAUUUAAGUAUCUAUCUGCACCAACACAUCUCAAUUUGAAUCUCAAUCAACGGCCACCUUUAUCCUUGGUCUC